rnacentral:rRNA from 1 species
GACGAACGCUGGCGGCGUGCCUAAUACAUGCAAGUUGAGCGCUGAAGGUUGGUACUUGUACCAACUGGAUGAGCAGCGAACGGGUGAGUAACGCGUGGGGAAUCUGCCUUUGAGCGGGGGACAACAUUUGGAAACGAAUGCUAAUACCGCAUAAAAACUUUAAACACAAGUUUUAAGUUUGAAAGAUGCAAUUGCAUCACUCAAAGAUGAUCCCGCGUUGUAUUAGCUAGUUGGUGAGGUAAAGGCUCACCAAGGCGGUGAUACAUAGCCGACCUGAGAGGGUGAUAGGCCACAUUGGGAGGGGGACACGGCCAAAACUACUACGGGAGGCAGCAGUAGGGAAUCUUCGGCAAUGGAAGAAAGUCUGACCGAGCAACGCCGCGUGAGUGAAGAAGGUGUUCGGAUCGUAAAACUCUGUUGGUAGAGAAGAACGUUGGUGAGAGUGGAAAGCUCAUCAAGUGACGGUAACUACACAGAAAGGGACGGCUAACUACGUG